ACGGAAGGCAGCAGUGGGGAAUAUUGGGCAAUGGGCGCAAGCCUGACCCAGCAAUGCCGCGUGAAGGAAGAAGGCCUUCGGGUUGUAAACUUCUUUUAUCAGGGACGAAUACAAUUGACGGUACCUGAAGAAUAAGCCACGGCUAACUACGUGCCAGCAGCCGCGGUAAUACGUAGGUGGCAAGCGUUAUCCGGAAUUACUGGGUGUAAAGGGAGCGCAGGCGGGAUAGCAAGUCAGCGGUGAAAAUUAUGGGCUUAACCCAUAAACUGCCGUUGAAACUGUUAUUCUUGAGUGGAGUAGAGGCAGGCGGAAUUCCGAGUGUAGCGGUGAAAUGCGUAGAUAUUCGGAGGAACACCAGUGGCGAAGGCGGCCUGCUGGGCUCUAACUGACGCUGAGGCUCGAAAGUGUGGGGAGCAAACAGGAUUAGAUACCCUGGUA
rnacentral:rRNA from 1 species